UGAUGAAGUAGACAAUAUUCAAGCAACCGAUGAUCUCUCUGAUGCAUGUGAAGGUUUUUAGUUGGAUAUUGAAUUUCCUGAAAAGUUUUCUGAAUCAGAUUGUGCUCCUCAUGAAGGAUCAAAUUUGCAUAACUUUGAUUCACAAAGGCAUACCCCUC